rfam:Solanum tuberosum cultivar DM 1-3 516 R44 scf00060_13, whole genome shotgun sequence.
GAUACCUUCGGGGACAUCCGAUAAAAUUGGAACGAUACAAAGAAGAUUAGCAUAGCCCUUGCGCAAGGAUGACACGUACGAAUCGAGAAAUGGUCCAAAUUUUU